rnacentral:rRNA from 1 species
CUUCUCCGAUCCUGAACCAGUGGGGAUCAUUACC